CCGACUAGCCGGACUCCAGAAGCGCCGAGAGAAGGGAGGGAAGGUCGCAUGAUCCUGUAGGAUUUGCCCCGAUCUCGGCUGGAGGGCAGCCCCCUUGGUCUCCCAGCGUCCGGAUGUGAUUCUUGGGGACUCCGGAGGACUUUCAGAAAGUGGCCAGUUAUUUUCCUCAGGAUUUUUCUAUAAUUCCUCCCCCCAUUUCAAGAAAUUGGAAACCAACCCUUGGUUCUCGGACACCUCAUUUUCAGAGUCAAGAAUUAUGCGAGACAAUUUUAAGGGGUCUUUGAGGAUUCUGAGUUCCCUAAUUGUGCUUGGAUUUCAGCUGGUCAU